GACGAACGCUGGCGGCGUGCUUAACACAUGCAAGUCGAACGGAAAGACCCUGCUUUUGUGGGGUGCUCGAGUGGCGAACGGGUGAGUAACACGUGAGUAACCUGACCUUGACUUUGGGAUAACUUCAGGAAACUGGGGCUAAUACCGGAUAGGAGCUCCUGCUGCAUGGUGGGGGUUGGAAAGUUUCGGCGGUUGGGGAUGGACUCGCGGCUUAUCCGCUUGUUGGUGGGGUAGUGGCUUACCAAGGCUUUGACGGGUAGCCGGCCUGAGAGGGUGACCGGCGACAUUGGGACUGAGGGACGGCCCAGACGCCUACGGGAGGCAGCAGUGGGGAAUAUUGCACAAUGGGCGGAAGCCUGAUGCAGCAACGCCGCGUGCGGGAUGACGGCCUUCUGGUGGUAAACCGCUGUCGCCUGUGACGAAGCGUGAGUGACGGUAAUGGGUAAAGAAGCACCGGCUAACUACGUG
rnacentral:rRNA from 1 species